rnacentral:rRNA from 1 species
UACGUAGGUGGCAAGCGUUGUCCGGAUUUACUGGGCGUAAAGGGCGCGUAGGCGGCCAGCACAAGUCAGUUGUGAAAUCUCCGAGCUUAACUCGGAAAGGUCAACUGAUACUGUGCGGCUAGAGUGCAGAAGGGGGCAACUGGAAUUCUUGGUGUAGCGGUGAAAUGCGUAGAUAUCAAGAGGAACACCUGCGGCGAAGGCGGGUUGCUGGGCUGACACUGACGGCUGAAGCGCGGAAAGCCCAGGGGAGCGAACGGG